AUUAAAGGUAGAAAUAGAUACAAAAUGUAUGGUGGAGUUCCGGAGGAUAGGUGGGCGUCUCCUCUAGGAAAGAAGACGACCUAUAAAAUGCCUAUCUUGGGAUGGACCUCCAUAACGAGGCGAGUAUGGGCCGCCUCUGAUAAGCCCGUCUUCUCCUCGGUUGUUCGGACCCGUUAGGUCUUCAGACCACCGAACUAGGAGAAGGUCACUCCGAUAAAAAACCAAACAAAAUAGAUAAUGGGCAACAUCAAAACGAUCUCAGUGGGAUCGGAUACCACGGACCGGCAGCGGAGUGUUCGAGGUCCUGACACAUCGCGAUCAUCAUCAAGCAAGGGACUACGACCCAUGGCAUCUGUCACGAGCGCGAUAUCAAUGUUUGAAUUGAUGAUAAAAAUUAUGCGGUAUUUAUGGUAAAAAAACUAUAUAUUCAAGUGUGGGAUGACAUAGAAUUUUUCAACAAUUUCAUUUGAAAAGGAAUGCAGUGCUCAAAUUAUUGCAUGCAAUUGAAGACCGAUUGUUACUCUGAAACACAUGUAAUUCUAGAUCAUUAACACCGAUUAACCAGUUGUCAUCAUAAAAUGUCCUCGAAUUGCAGCAGAUGCGCGAGGAGCGGAGGCAGAAGCGGCAAGAGCAGCAGGUCUUCCGCGGUCAGAUCGAGACCCGUUUUCUGGAGCGAGAGGCAGCUCUGAAGCAUUUGAAGGAACGGAUCGGCCGCACACAGCUAAGUCGUUCUGAUAAUAUUUCCGCGAACAAAAUUCCGACGCGCGAUGUGGCGCGAGCAAAUUUUCCGAACGUCUUAAUUAACGCGAGGAAAUCGAGCGUCGAUCGGUUUGAGAGUUAAAUCCGACAGUAGUGUGAAAACGGUGGCAUUGGCGCGUUCAGUUUUGGAUGGGUUGAACGCGGAAAAUGGUGAAUUAACGUUUUCGGAAAUUAAAUCCGAAUUAGAAUUGCGUUUCGGCGAGAGCGAGCUCGCGCAAAGUUUUUAUUUACAAUUUACGAAUCGUCUCCAGUGAAAGAUUACGCGACGUUGAAUGCUCUCAAAACGUGCGGGAUAAAAUCGCGUGCUCGCAGUUCGUUGCACCGAUGUGAACCCCUGGCGCCCAACAUUGUUAAAAAAAAAAAGAACUAUGUAGUUCGAUUGUACUUCGUUUGUACCCGUUUGUACCUCUAUUAAAAUCGUUUAUAACUCAAAAAGUUAAAAAAUACCAGGGGGUAAUAAAAUGGUCAGCGCCCAACUAUAAAUUUUUUUAAUUCUGCUUAUGCCAUUCGAAAGAGAAUCGUUUGUACCCGUUUGUACCUCCGUUAAAAUCGUUUAUACCUCAAAGGGACCGGAAGUAUAGGCUUUUCAAACGAUAACGCGGGUGUCGUGUUCGGAAACAGAAGAAAAAAAAACGUAUCUUGAUUGAUCUCGGCAAGAAGGGAUCUACUUUUGUUUAAAAAAAGAGGGGAUAAAUUUGAUUUUCUUUUAAAAAGUUGUUGUUGUCUGUUUUGUAAUAUUUUACAGAAUUUGUUGCGGUUAAUUUGGAAACGCUCAGGCUGAAAAUUGACGUGGGAAGCAGAAGAAAAAAAAACAUUUAAAGAAGACCGUCUCGCUCACGGUUUUCGACCGUGGUUUUCCGUGAGACUAUGGGCGAAUGCCGAGACGGGGACAAGGGUACCCUUUCAGGGCGUAAGGAGUCCACGGGAAGUUACCUCCCCCUUGUCCGAAGAACAAGGAAGAAGAGCGCAAGACCCGGUGUGGAAAAGGAAGAAGACUCGAUGGGAAAGGAGCACGGGGACGGAAAGAAGGAUACUCGUGACAUAUCAUUGUAUCUGACGUCCAAAUUUAAUCGUUUUACAUUUUUUGAAAUAUUUGUCUUUUUUUGCGCUAUUUCGUCAUACGUGCGUAACAAUAAAGAUUAAAUUUCGUA